CUGUAUCAUGAUUACAAGAAACUAGCCAGCACAUACAUGGAACUCUUGUGCCAGUGACAGGAUCACCAACUCUAUCACAGUGUGCCAAGCAUCUACUGCUUUACAUGACCUCUUCUAGUCUUCACCUCACUACCUGAUUCCCAUUUAUACACCAACUUUGGCUGCCAGCAUGAAGUAUAUUCUUGAUCACCCCAGGAAAACAGCUUCUGUGUGGUAAUCUCAGGGGUCUCUACAUGCAGUUUAUAAUGAUCUCAAGUUCAAGCAAUGAGGACAUUCUGCUCUUCCAAGUUCCAAGAAGCUUUUCCUGAAUACAGUUACCAUAUCUAGCUGGUGAAUGCUACAUCAAUAACAGAAGUAUCAGUAAAAAGCUGCAGGAGCAAUAUGGCUACUACUGCAGAUACUGAAUAAUAUGUCUAAUGGGUCUGACUCUGAUGUUCAAUGUUGUUGAAACUCAAGCAUUAAAGCUGUGCUUUCCCUCAGCAUCCUGAGAUUCUCACAAUGGAGGUUACUACCAUGAACUUCUGGAACUGUUCAAGAGAGAAUAGUUGAAAAAGGAUGGACAAUUUAUGGGCCGCAUUGAAGAAGUUUGAGGGGGCAGAGGAAUGGAAAUAUUAAGUGAGAUUCAUGGAAAGGAAAUACUUAUGGUCAAGAUUGUUUUUCACCUGCAAAAAGAAGACCACUUAAGAAAACACAAAGUACAGUAAUGGAAGUACUUUAUCACUUAAGAGCAUAGAGCAAGGAGAGUUAUUCAUGUUACUUGUGUUGGAUAAUAAGAGAGAUGGUAUCGUUCUCUUUGGCUACUAUAUGGGUUCUUCUUAGUUCCAUCCUGCAUCAACAUUUUCUUCCACCAUUUCAACUCCUAAUAGGGGAGGAAAAAAAGGAGAGAGGGGAAAUGAAAUUGUUCCCUGAAUAUCAAGUGUCAGAAAUUGUUCAAUAUUACAGGUACUUCCUGCUAAUUGAGUAAAUUGAGUUCCUUGGGGCAAGUUUGAACUUCACUGUCAUGAUACUUAAUGACUUUAUCUUCUUGUUUCUUCUUUGCUUACUACUACUAACAAACUACAGCCAACAACCAACCCAAAACCAAUAAUCCACCCACCCUGCCUCUUGGGACCCUAGCAUUUAUAUACCCUCUCAAACUCCUCAGAAUUCUAAACAUUACACUAUCACAGAAACUACCAGCAGCUGGACAAAUCACACCUAUGUUAGAGCAUGAAGCAACUGAUAGGUCACUUGCUGUGGAUAAUAUGAAGCAGCCCCAUAUCUCACACCUGGGAUAAAAACAAAAACAUAUUCUUAUAGUAUUUUUGUGAGUUUUACAGAAAUCAAAAUUCCAAAGUUGUCAUUACAAGAAGAAGCAUUCCUAGAAGAGCUUAUUCAUAUGCUGAGAUGUCAAAAACUCUACUAGUGUUCUCUGCAUUCUUCAUAUACUUUAAUGUUCAGUGUAGCAUUGGAGGAAGCAUUAUGCAAACCUAGGGUGUCACCCAGUAAAUAAGAGGUAUGGGUUGCUUAUUUGAGAGUAUAUAGUGUUGACAGUGAGGGUCAAUUAUGCAAUUUAA